CAAAAGACUUAGGUGACUUGUAGUAGUACCCAGUGGCUGCCCAUCAAAACGACUGUUGGUGAGGACCCCUUCUCAACUGGAAUGAAAGCAUCAGGGCUUGUCCAAGUGGACAUUUUGCUAGCUGGCUAUUUGUGGUUUAUUUCUACCAACCACAAUGGCUGAAACAGUGAUUCACCUGUCCCUAAAUAGUGAUGACAGCAAUAGAGAAGCAUCAAAUGCACCCUCCUAAUUAUUUUUUUUUUCUGUUUUGAAGCUAUUGUUUUUGAAUGUCAUGUUUAGCCAGGAUUCAUUUUACCUUCCCUGGUACUAUCCAGCUUUCUUAGAUGUCUGUAAAAUAGGCGCUGCAAAUGAAGAAGGUGUACUACCACAAAGGAUGUGAGAAAUGUUAAGCAAAGAAAUUAAGGAGUGCUACUUCAAUCAAAAUGGCCUUGGGAGAGAUGGAGGGAAGACAAUCAUCAGCCUUCCUCUUGCAACGGAUACCUCAUUGAGAUUGAGGGAGAAAAUGCUACUGAGUUCAGUUCUCAGUGGACAAAACUGGGCCAUGCUCCUUCUCAUUGAAUUUGCCGUAAUGAAUUUGAGGUGCUGACAGGACAUCCACCUGGAGACAUCUUGGACACAAGAAGCAAUGCAGGAUUGAAGAGCAGGAUGAAAAUGGAAAAUUGGAAGACUCAAAGGCAGCAUAAUCCCCAGCAACAAGCUACUGACCAGGAAAUCAAAUUAGCCAAGGUCCUACGGCGAAUGUGUUUUAAAUGUUGGGAGCACCUUGCCAAGUGCAACCGCAUAUGAAGCCCAGGCCUGCUUGCAAGCAGAGAAACAAAUUCAGACCAAGA